rnacentral:tRNA from 8 species
GGCGGGAUAGCUCAGUAGGUAGAGCAACGGACUGAAAAUCCGUGUGUCCCCAGUUCAAUUCUGGGUCCCGCCACCA